rnacentral:rRNA from 1 species
GAUGAACGCUGGCGGCGUGCCUAAUACAUGCAAGUAGAACGCUGAAGCUUGGUGCUUGCACCGAGCGGAUGAGUCGCGAACGGGUGAGUAACGCGUAGGUAACCUGCCUCUUAGCGGGGGAUAACUAUUGGAAACGAUAGCUAAUACCGCAUAAAAGACGAUAUCGCAUGAUAUUGAUUUGAAAGGUGCAAAUGCAUCACUAAGAGAUGGACCUGCGUUGUAUUAGCUAGUUGGUGAGGUAACGGCUCACCAAGGCAACGAUACAUAGCCGACCUGAGAGGGUGAUCGGCCACACUGGGACUGAGACACGGCCCAGACUCCUACGGGAGGCAGCAGUAGGGAAUCUUCGGCAAUGGGGGCAACCCUGACCGAGCAACGCCGCGUGAGUGAAGAAGGUUUUCGGAUCGUAAAGCUCUGUUGUAAGAGAAGAACGAGUGUGAGAGUGGAAAGUUCACACUGUGACGGUAACUUACCAGAAAGGGACGGCUAACUACGUGCCAGCAGCCGCGGUAAUACGUAGGUCCCGAGCGUUAUCCGGAUUUAUUGGGCGUAAAGCGAGCGCAGGCGGUUAGAUAAGUCUGAAGUUAAAGGCUGUGGCUUAACCAUAGUACGCUUUGGAAACUGUUUAACUUGAGUGCAGAAGGGGAGAGUGGAAUUCCAUGUGUAGCGGUGAAAUGCGUAGAUAUAUGGAGGAACACCGGUGGCGAAAGCGGCUCUCUGGUCUGUAACUGACGCUGAGGCUCGAAAGCGUGGGGAGCAAACAGG